AGUGAACGCUGGCGGUAGGCCUAACACAUGCAAGUCGAACGGCAGCACAGUAAGAGCUUGCUCUUACGGGUGGCGAGUGGCGGACGGGUGAGGAAUACAUCGGAAUCUACUUUUUCGUGGGGGAUAACGUAGGGAAACUGACGCUAAUACCGCAUACGACCUACGGGUGAAAGCAGGGGAUCUUCGGACCUUGCGCGAUUGAAUGAGCCGAUGUCGGAUUAGCUAGUUGGUGGGGUAAAGGCCCACCAAGGCGACGAUCCGUAGCUGGUCUGAGAGGAUGAUCAGCCACACUGGAACUGAGACACGGUCCAGACUCCUACGGGAGGCAGCAGUGGGGAAUAUUGGACAAUGGGCGCAAGCCUGAUCCAGCCAUACCGCGUGGGUGAAGAAGGCCUUCGGGUUGUAAAGCCCUUUUGUUGGGAAAGAAAAGCAGCAGGUUAAUACCCCGCUGUUCUGACGGUACCCAAAGAAUAAGCACCGGCUAACUUCGUG
rnacentral:rRNA from 1 species